GUAGGCGUUGCUGGGGCUGGAGAAGGCAAAGUGCAGAGGAAGGAGGAGCCACUGCUAAUGGGUACGAGGUUUCUUCUUGGUACAAGGACUUCUACGUUCUGUCCUCCUGCAGCCAUCUAAAGUCAGCCAGAAAGGUUUAGGAUCCCAUUUCCUGUUCUUGCAUCGGCUGUCCAAGCUGCUGUUCCUCUCUCUGCAGUAAGAGGGUGUUUUUCUCCCUAUUCAAGAGGAGCACCAACACUUGAGGACAGUAUCAUCCCUAGACCUUGGCAAGAGAGACCACUGAGUGAGGCAUCCAUGGAACCCAAGGAAGAGGCCUACGAAGAACCUGCAGUCACCUUCUAGACCAUUCUCCCUCACCAAACUGUCCCCUCCAGAGAGCUGAGGACUGGAUCUUCCCAUGCUGACACCUCCAGUGGGAAAGAAAAUUCUAGAUUCAGCUCUGGGUGUCCAAGUCAUUAUGAAGGCAUAUUUGUCAAGGUGGAAGAAAAGGACAUAUUCUAUUUAGCAGUUUACUGAGCCUGGCCAGGUCCCUGCUUGUCCUGAGACGAUGAGAGGAGGCAUGAUGUGGCCAUGGAGUGCUGGAGCAGCCGGGAGCGUCACCUUCACCUGGCCCCUCACUAGCUGUCUGCUGUCUUCUUACAAUGCUGGCGUGUCUCCAGGGCUGUGCUGAUCAAGGAGUCUCACUGGCUUUCCAGAAGAGCACAGAAGUCCUAAUUUGUAGCCUUUGCUGACUUCCGUGAUUCCAGUUCCCUCACUGACGGCAGAGUUGGGAGGAGGAGCAGUGAUGCUGACAUGCCACACCGGGUCAAGAGACAGAAUGUGCUAUAACCUUCUGGAAACUUCUACUAUUUUCCUGCAACCUGACUACCCCUUAGGUGAGGGAGUCCAGAAUGCUGGCUUGAAAUGGGAGAGAGAAAGAACUGCCACAUAAUUUGCAAGAUCUUUUUUGAAAAAGAAAAGGUAUUAAGAAUUCCAGGACAGCAUUAGGAAUGUAUUAAACCAGAAUAAGGAACAGCGAGCGGAGCUUCCCCCUAAGACCCUGGUGUGUUUCUGCAUCAGGAAACCUUCUCUCCUGCAAUGUGGAAGAAGAUAGACAAAAACACCAGAGGAGCUGCUCCCAGAUGGAGUGGACUUGCCAUACAAAACAAGGGAGUCCCAGCAGGGCAGGGAUCUGUAGUGGAUGGUGAUGCAGCACCCAGGAAACCUCAUCAGGAUGUAGCUACUCCUUCUCCCACUGCGGGCGGUACCAGCUGCUGAAGGCUCACAGCUGAGACUCUCUAAGGAAAGGGGACACAUAGCCCAGGAGCCCAGGUGAUGCCCACUCUCCAGGGACAGCCUGCACCAGUGACUAGACGCAGGAGGAAGAUGCCCACUGCCUGGCUUCUAUUUGUGAUGGCCUCUGAAGGGCUAUCUCAGAUCCACUGCUGCCUUUGGGGAAACGGAGGUCCUUGUGGAGACCACAUUCCAUCUGAACUGCCUCUGCCCAAUCCUGCUUUCCUGACUUAUGGUUGUUGUUCCCAAGAAAACAUCCUCAUAAAUCAUUUCCAGGGAACCCAACUGAAGCCAUAAAUCCCUCCAGAAAAAAAUCUCCAAGGGGAGUCUCCCUGCAACUCAUGGGAUCGAAUUGGGCCCUAUGCCCAUCCCUUAAUCAAUGACCCACAAAGAAAGUGAAUUUUCAUGCUGUCAUCUGCCGGAAUGUUGGGAAGUCCGUGACCAGCACGUUGACCUCUCCAGCGACGCCCCAAGAGCUGCAGCAUCACAGGAGUGGGAUGGACCGUGUCGGCUCUCUGGAUCUUUUGUGGCACUGAGCAGGGGAAUGCAUUGCAUGCCAUCCUGGGCACCCGCCUCCCAGAGGAACAGAGCAGCUGCUGCUGGUCAAUGUCUACCAUGAGGCUUGCAUCUGCCAGGCCCCUGUGCAUGCGAACCAAAGCAUGUACGUGUGUGCAUAUUUAAACUUCUCAAGUGGAAAGCUGAGUGGUCGCUGGGAACAAGCUACUGCCACAUGGGCCAUGGGAUAGGUGCCUUGACAGGACCAGGGCUUCGAAGAGCGGGGUCAGAGGUUGGCCAAGCCAACUUUGCCAAUUGGCGAGGUGAAAGCCAGCACACCGUCCACAUCCUGGCAGCCCAAAGUCAAGGCAUCCUUUGCAGUUCAAGCAAGAAAGCAGAGAAUCCUUCAGUCCUCAGUGUGGGACCAGCGCUCCCCAUUCCACAGCUGCGAAGGGAUGCAGUCUGCAUUGUUCAGGCUGCCCUGGAUGGAAUGGGGGCCGUGGUUUGAAGCUUGGCUGUGUUGCUUGGAAUUACCGCCCUCUUGGGCAUUCUGCUUCUGAGGCUGCAAUUGCCAAUCUCACCAACCCACCGGACCAGAGGACCCUGGCUUGCAAGGUAUUGGCAUCCCCUGAUCAAGGUCUGUAUGAGACUCCCCCAUUGUCUAGCUUAUUCCCACUUGCUUGACACACCUUCCCCAUGUCCCAGCCACCUUUAUGCCUGGUUGCCCAAACAUUACAGGUCUGCGGUUCCCAUGAGACACUGAACGAGCUGUUCCACUGCAUGGAAUCCUUCCAGCCUGAAUGCUUCUGGGACCUCCUGUCCCCCACAAAAGCCACGUUUCCUCUCCCCUCCUCUGACCAGCCUUUCCCGAGGCACCUGCCCAUGCAUAGUCUCAGGGGGUCCCCCCCGCGGCACCUGCCCAUGAAUAGUCUCAGGGGGUCCCUCCCUGCAUUCUCGCUGGGCCUUGUCUAUGUGUUUAUUAUAGUGCAUUGACAUCGUGUUGAAAUUGUCUGUUUAUGCAUCUAUCUCCUCAUUAGGCUGCUUGCUCCUCAAGGGUAGGGAAUCACCUCUUUCUAUCUGUGUAUCCAUGAUACUUAGUAAAUAUUUGUGAAAUG